rnacentral:rRNA from 1 species
GACGAACCGUGCGAACGUUGUUCGGAAUCACUGGGCAUAAAGGGCGCGUAGGCGGCUUUUCAAGUCAGGGGUGAAAUCCGGCAGCUCAACUGUCGAAGUGCCUUUGAUACUGGGAAGCUCGAGGGAGGUAGGGGUGUGUGGAACUUCCGGUGGAGCGGUGAAAUGCGUUGAUAUCGGAAGGAACGCCGGUGGCGAAAGCGACGCACUGGACCUCUUCUGACGCUGAGGCGCGAAAGCCAGGGGAGCAAAC